ensembl:lncRNA
AAGUGGGGGUCGCAUUAGGACUGGCUGAAAUUCCAGCUUAUGAAAUAUACUGAGGUUUCAGAGCCUGUUCCAACAUGAACAAAACCAAUAUCAUCUGUAUUACAUGCAUGAAGAAACCAAACCUAUUCCAGGAGACCAAUAGGAAUUUUUUCUGUAACCUACAAAUUAGUAGCUCACCUUGGGAAAAAAGAGAGCCAUACUCAGCUCCCCUCAGAGAAUCAGGCAUUUGAAUUUGAGCUUAGCUCCUUCCAGAUGCCUUCAUACUGGGAGAACUACACUGUGGCAUCUUCCCAGUCUGCAAUCCCAGAGAUCUCUGUGCUACAUUGCCUGUGCUUGUUUGCGUGCAGCUUGCUCAUGUCAUGUGCUGGACCACACUGGGGACAUAGAUACAUCCUAAUGGCACAUAUAAGGAGAGUUCUUUCCAGGAAGGAAGGACAACAGGAGGUUUGAGAAAGAAGCUCCACACAGCUCUGGUCCAAAGUCACAGAAGGAGAGGAACCAGAAAGAAGGGAAGAACCAGGAUCUCAAAACUAUUCAGUCACAGCAGCGCUUCCUGAGCCGAGUCUCACAUCAUGUGGAAUACCCUGAUUUGAUCUAACUGCAAGGAACAGUUUCCCACUUUUAUACAUGGAGGUAUUUUGGAAGAGGGUUUUGUUUUUGUUUUAAAUGCAACCCUGCUGUUCCAGCUCACAUUUUGUUUUCCCUAAGAGAAAAGAAAAACAACUGGAAAAUGGAUAAGAACUGCAUUGUUCCAAUCCCUACUUUCUGCCAUUUCAGUUAAUUACUGUAUUGCAGAAGUUGGUGACACUUUUCAAGAAACUGAAGUGAGCUGACCAUUGUGAAGGAAGAGAGGCUGACAGCAGAAGAGAGAGGCAAAGGGAUAAUGCCCCAGAGGCAGAAAAAAGCCAUGAGCAAAUUGAAUUACCACAACCCAUCCCAGUGAGUCCUCUGCCCUCUCUUGUCUACCUCACUUUGCUCAUUUAACCUAAAGAAAGACUUGUAGUACUGUAAAAGAGUAAAAUCUAUCCCUAUAACAGACAGUGUGACUUAGACGCAUGAGGACAGCCUUUGGGCCUUGUAUUCCAGCUAUACAGGCAGCACUUCCAUGUGGGAGCAAGGCGGAUGUGGUACCCACCCUAUCUGCAGGACAUAGGCUGCAGCCAUCUAUGCCCUUGUGGCCCUAUCUUGGCUUGAUGAAUUCCUCUCCACCUCAUCCUCUAUCUUGUCAGUGCUGAGCAUCAUGAUGUUAAGCCUAUUGGAAUACUUGUCUUAAAUCACAUGGAAAUAUAAAGCUUCUUCUCACAGGUGAAAUUCAGAGGCAAACACAAAGACCUGCCUGGUGCUUACAAGCUUCAUUACAACUUGUGCUGGCCAUGAUGGUCUCCCACUCCAAAGGAAGUGCCUAUAGAGCUGUGCAAAACUCAUCCCAUCCUGCUGAGAAUUUUCAGAUCUCAGAUUUUGCUUUGUCACCAACACAAAGAAAGCCGACCAGCUCUCCUCAGUGCCUGUGCCUGUUCAGGCUGCUCCCCUUAUUGAUGGGAGAAGGUGCUUCUGCUGAGGGACCUGUCUCACUGGAGGUAAAGAUGGAUGCAGAUCAAGCUGAUGUCAAGACUCCCAGAGCCCUAGUUUUCCUCUAGCUUCUGCUCCUGACAGCUGGGAGGGAAUGGGGAGCAGCCACCCCAGAACACUGAGUAAUUAUUUGCCUCUCUUGAACAAAUUGGAAGGAAGCUAGACAUUUUGUGAUGGAAAUUUUUCAGCUUCCCAUACAUUCCUCAGUAAAGUCAUGCCAUCCAUGUGGAAAGUUUUGAUUGUGACUCGUCAAUGAAGAAACAUGCCAUUGAGUAAUUGCUGUCCUGGCUUUAUUUGCAGUUGUCCUUCUUUUUGAACAUUAAUGAGAAAGCAACCUUAUGAGUCAGAAGCAGUUGGUGGGAGAGAACUUAACUGAGCUUACCUUUACUUCUUGUACUUGUAACUCAGAUAAGAUUCGAUGACCUCUUUCUCUUCUGUCUGCCUAGACCAUUCCCCAUCUCCAGCUGUGGACUAGCAGAUAGCUAGAAAUGGGUUGAUGCUCAUCUUAACCAAAACAGAGAUGUCAGGGGAAAAAAAAAAAAAAAAAAAAAAAAAGAAGAAGUAUUG